rnacentral:lncRNA from 1 species
CAAGAAAUCAAGGAAAUUGAUUACCUUCUAGAUUAUUAAACCCCAAAUAUAAUUCUUGGAGUCGUGUUAGAUUUCCAAUACUUCUUGGAAUGAUCCCCAUAAAUUGAUUAUAGGACAACGACAAAAUAUUAAGGUUGUUGCAUUUGCCCAUGCCAAAUGGAAUGUUACUAGAAAACUCAUUGCUAUCCAAGUAAAGCCCUUCAAGCUUGGGAAGAUGUUGACACAUAUCAUUAGGCAAACUACCUGAUAGGUUAUUGUUGGAGAGAUCAAUGGUCUUCAAAGAAGAAAUGUUGAAGAUCGAAGUUGGAAUCUGACCUGUAAAGCCUUUAAUUGCUUUAAUAUUAAGCAUUUCCAAACUAAGAAGUUUAAAUCAAUUAAGAAUAAAAUUUUGGCAUGGAAAAAUGUGAUGAAAUCAAUUAAAAAGUUGAGACAUAAUAAGAAGUUUUGAGUCGUAAUUAGUCCUUCUGAUUUGUAUAGACAAAACAUAUAAUACACUAAUAAUAAUUAGUUUGGCAUGAGAAUGUGGCAUCUAAUCAAUCUUAAAAAUGAGAUGACACUGAAUAAUAAUUAGUUAUGAUUUGGGAAACAAAAAUGUUAAAGCCAUUGCUUUUAAUGUAAACUAGUAUGAUUUUUAUCUAUUGGGUUAAUUAUUUAUUUUUAUGAAAUUAUAGUGUAAAAUUUAAAGAUUAUUUUUAUCUAUUACAAAUCAAACUCUUUUAUGAAAAAAAUAUUUUAAAUUAAAGAAACAAAGAAAAUUCAAUAUCUUCUAAGUUAUUCCACUCCAAAUAUAAUCUUCAGUGAAGAAAUCUUGAAGAUGGAAGAUGGAACCUUACCAGAUAAUUGAUUGAAUCCCAAGCUCAAGGACUCUAGAUUAGACAUGUUAACAAGUGUUUCAGGGAUUGUGCCUAUAAAGUUAUUAUUUUUCAUUUUCAGCCUUCGAACUCCCUGUAAGUUCCCAAGCCAUGAUGGAAUUUCCCCAUUAAGACUGUUGUAUUUUAAUCGAAGGAUCCUCAAACGAUGCAAUUGGCCCAAUUCUUUAGGGAGAUGGCCAUAGAAAUGGUUUCUACUCAAGUCGAGAGAGAGUAGAAAUGAAAGAUUUCCAAGGUGUGGAGGGAUACUACCCCUAAGAUUCAUGCUUUUAAGUUUGGAAACAAAUUCAACACAAUGUUUUUGGAGUUUGGAAAAAAUUAAAGUGAAAAACAUACCUUCUAAUUUGUUGUCAGAUAGUCCUAUUAUUUCGAGCAUAGUUGAAUUAAAAAUACUUGAUGGAAUCUGACCUGCACAUAUAGUUGAAAAUUGAAGUGAAAAACAUACCUUCUAAACUGUUCAACUAAAAAAACUUUAAGCAUAUUUGUUUUUCCAUCAAAUUAACUAUUUUGCCUUGAAUGAAAUAAAAUGCUCUUACUUUUGUUAUUUAUUACUAAUCAAACUCUUUUCUAAAAAAAAACUUUAAAUUAAGAAACUAAGAAAAUUCGGUACCUUCUAGGUUAUUAAACCCUAAAUAUAACUUCUGGAGUCGUGUUAGAUUUCCAAUACUUCUUGGAAUGAUACCCAUAAAUUGAUUAUAGGACAACGACAAAUUUUUAAGGUUGUUGCAUUUGCCCAUGCCAAAUGGAAUGUUACCAGAUAAUUCAUUCCAACUCAGGUAAAGCCCUUCAAGCUUGGGAAGAUGUUGACACAUAUCAUUAGGCAAACUACCUAGGUUAUUGUUGGAGAGAUCAAUGGUCUUCAAAGAAGAAAUGUUGAAGAUCGAAGUUGGAAUCUGACCUGUA